rnacentral:rRNA from 1 species
GACGAACGCUGGCGGCGUGCUUAACACAUGCAAGUCGAACGAAGUGGCGCACUGGUGAGUAACGCGUAGGUAACUUCCUGGUAGCGGGGGAUAACUAUUGGAAACGAUAGCUAAUACCUCAUACUACCAUAUGGACCUGCGUUGUAUUAGGUAGUUGUGGGGGUAAAGGCUCACCAAGGCAACGAUACAUACCCGACCUGAGAGGGUGAUCGGCCACACUGGGACUGAGACACGGCCCAGACUCCUACGGGAGGCAGCAGUAGGGAAUCUUCGGGAAGGGACGGAAGUCUGACCGAGCAACGCCGCGGGAGUGAAGAAGGUUUUCGGAUCGUAAAGCUCUGUUGUAAGAGAAGCGGUAUCUUACCAGAAAGGGACGGCUAACUACGUGCCAGCAGCCGCGGUAAUAC